AUAAACCAAACCCACCUAAACGUCAAACACGACACCGUAUUUGGUCAGUUCCCACAUAAUUACGUUGCAAUAAUUCAUUAUCUCAUAAGGUUGUUGUUUUUUGUUAAGAUUUCACAAAAAAUAAGAGAAAAAACUGUAUAAUUCGAAAAAAGUCAAAUUUCAUUUAUUGGGCCGGUUUAUUGGGCAAGGAAUUAUCUCAAAACCCUAAUUGGAUCCAUCAUCUUCAAUUCCUCUCAAUUAGCAGGAGACAACAUUUCAGUGAGCUCUUGUAUUGUUUUUGGAUCAGUAUGUGUGUACGGAGUAUAAUUUAGAUUGAACUGCCUCUGUGGACCGACAUUGAAAGAGCUUGCCCCAUAUGAUCCUGACUGUCAGAGCCGGUAUGCUAACAAACUCUUUGAUUCAACAUCGAUUUUAUGUGUCGAAGCGGUCAUGCCUAUACUAGUGCCUAACACAGUCGAAGUAAGGCUUUGUAGUGUAUCCAAAGAUCCUUCUGAGAUGAAUUCUGUUUUUAGCUUCCAUGGCUAUAAAAAUCUACUUGUGAGGGGAAGUCUUGGAGUUGGUGCAUUCCGUAGGAUAUAUAUCAAUAUAUGUGAUUGACACAUACAAGACAUGGACACAUCUUUUUCCAGUAAUGUUGAUCGGGUUGUAAUGUAACCAGGGGAAGGAAAAUCACAUCCAGUGGUCAAAGGGAUCUUGACCAAGUGGCUGGAAGGAUUGACCUGUGACUGAGUUUUAUAGGUGUUCUUUGUUUUGAUAGUCAUCUUCUUCUCUCUUUUUUUUUUUAACAUAGUUCUUGGAGUUGUUCACUUGUUUGUAGCUUUCUUCACUCUCUCUUUUUUUGUUUUGGUCUUCAAUGUUUAAUUUAAUUCUCUUUGGCUUGGCUCC